GACGAACGCUGGCGGCGUGCCUAAUACAUGCAAGUAGAACGCUGAAGAGAGGAGCUUGCUCUUCUUGGCUGAGUUGCGAACGGGUGAGUAACGCGUAGGUAACCUGCCUUGUAGCGGGGGAUAACUAUUGGAAACGAUAGCUAAUACCGCAUAACAAUGGAUGACACAUGUCAUUUAUUUGAAAGGGGCAAUUGCUCCACUACAAGAUGGACCUGCGUUGUAUUAGCUAGUAGGUGAGGUAAUGGCUCACCUAGGCGACGAUACAUAGCCGACCUGAGAGGGGGAUCGGCCACACUGGGACUGAGACACGGCCCAGACUCCUACGGGAGGCAGCAGUAGGGAAUCUUCGGCAAUGGGGGCAACCCUGACCGAGCAACGCCGCGUGAGUGAAGAAGGUUUUCGGAUCGUAAAGCUCUGUUGUAAGUCAAGAACGGGUGUGAGAGUGGAAAGUUCACACUGUGACGGUAGCUUACCAGAAAGGGACGGCUAACUACGUG
rnacentral:rRNA from 1 species